AACCAGAACCAAGCACAUAGAGGAAUUUAC
rnacentral:piRNA from 1 species